CUCACAACCUAGUGUUUUAAGUGGGUGUGAAUGUACGAACUCUGGGGUGGAGUCAUUUACACUUCCGGUCCUUCAGUUGAGAUUUUUGAAAAGAAGAUGGACGCCAUUGAAGUACAUCGUGGGAUAGUAAAAGGGUCAGCAAAAUGCUCAUCAAUGUCCAGUACCAUGGAGAAAAAAGUACAUCAAACUGCUGCCUGGUUUUUCCUUUCAAAGUUUAAUUCGAGAAGGCACAUCAAUCCACUGGUGCAAAAGAAGAGAACACCUCUGCCAUAGGAGAUUCAGCAGAAAAUGGCCAAACAGAUGGUCCAGGAGGUUCUGGAGAAGAGUUAAAUGGGAGAGGAAAUAAUGGAGGAGUAUAGUAGAGCACCUUGACACACUCUACAAGAAGGCAUCUUCUGAAUAUCCUGGUCCAUGGGAUACCAGUACGAAGUCAAGGAAAAAGAUAGGCACUCGGCAUUGUGACUGUUUCCUAAUCUCAGGGAUCCUUACUCCACCAAUGGCUAUGAACACUUCUACGAUGCUGGAAGAGGGACGGGCUAUCUGGCAUGGCGCCUAAAGCAACGAGUGUCGCAGCGUUUGGUCAAGAACAGCUCGGGAGCCUUGGAAUACAUGAACACCAUGAGCUUUUUAAGGAGGUAGACUUUCUAAUGAGGAGACACAGCAAUCAAAAAAUCCUCCAUAGAAAUGCAUGGGGUUAGUUUGUAACGUAUGGUGUUGUCUACAUAUAUCACACCCCCCUCCGUGGCAAAACGUGGACAUGUAAAUACAUUGAGCCAAUCAUGUGGUGUGUUGUGAAGACAUUGAUUGUGCCAAUCAUGUGUUGU